CUCCAGGUUGGCUGGAUUAAUUCACAACUCCACCAGCAAUGAAUUAAUGUCCCUACUUUGCCACAUCCCCUCCAGCAUUCAUUACUUUCCUUUGCUGUAAUGUUAGCCAAUCUGCUAGGUGUGAGGUGAUACCUCAGAGUUGUUUUGAUUUGCAUCUCUCUGAUUAUAAGAGAUGUAGAGCACUUCUUCAUGUGCUUGUUAAUAGUUUUGAUUUCUUUAUCUGAGAACUGCCUAUCCAUGUCCCUUGCCCAUUUAUCAUUGUUAAUAGUUUUGAUUUCUUUAUCUGAGAACUGCCUAUCCAUUUCCCUUGCCCAUUUAUCAAUUGGAGAAUGGCUUGAUUUUUUGUACAAUUGAUUUAGCUCAUUAUAAAUAUGAGUAAUUAAACCUUUGUCAGAGGUUUCUAUGAAGAUUUUUUCCCAGUUUGUUGUUUCCCUUCUGAUUUUAGUUAUAUUGGUUUUGUUUGUACAAAAGCUUUUUAGUUUGAUGUAGUCAAAAUUAUUUAUUUUACAUUUUGUGAUUCUUUCUAUAUCUUGCUUGGUUUUAAAGUCUUUCCCCUCCCAAAGGUCUGACAUGUAUACUAUUCUGUGUUUACCCAAUUUACUUAUGGUUUCCUUCUUUAUGUUUAAGUCACUCACCCAUUUUGAAUUUAUCUUGGUGUAGGGUGUGAGGUGUUGAUCUAUUCCUAGUCUCUCCCACACUGUCUUCCAAUUUUCCCAGCAGUUUUUAUCGAAUAGUGGAUUUUUGUCCCAAAAGCUGGGAUCUUUGGGUUUAUUGUAUACUGUCUUGCUGAGGUCGCUUUCCCCCAGUCUAUUCCACUGAUCUUCCUUUCUGUUUCUUAGCCAGUACCAAAUUGUUUUGAUGACUGCUGCUUUGUAAUAUAGUUUUAGGUCAGGGACUGCAAGGCCCCCAUCAUAUGUGUUUUUUUUUUUCCAUUAUUUCCCUGGAUAUCCUUGAUCUUUUGUUCUUCCAAAUGAACUUUGUUAUGGUUUUUUCUAAAUCAGUGAAGAAGUAUUUUGGUAGUUCAAUGGGUAUGGCACUAAAUAGAUAAAUAAGUUUGGGUAGUAUGGUCAUUUUUAUUAUAUUGGCUCGUCCUAUCCAUGAGCAGUUAAUGUUUUUCCAUUUGUUCAAGUCUAGUUUUAGUUGUGUGGCGAGUGUUUUGUAGUUGUGUUCAUAUAGUUCCUGUGUUUGUCUUGGGAGGUAGAUUCCUAGGUAUUUUAUUUUGUCUAAGGUGAUUUUGAAUGGGAUUUCUCUUUCUAGUUCUUGCUGCUGAGCUGUGUUGGAGAUAUAUAGAAAAGCUGAUGAUUUAUGUGGGUUUAUUUUGUAUCCUGCAACUUUGCUAAAGUUGUUGAUUAUU
rnacentral:lncRNA from 1 species